rnacentral:rRNA from 1 species
AAAUAUUAUUCCCUUGUAGUGUAGUUUAAUAGCUAUCUACAUAAUAAUUAAACACUAAGUAUGAUAGAUUAUAAUUUAUAAUAUGACGCAUGCAGUUUUGUUACUAGUUGAUAAUGUUAGUAUUAGUAAUAUUAAUAUGUGUGGUAAAGGAACUCGGCAAAUAACCGCUCAACUGUUUAUCAAAAACAUAGCUAUAUGGAUUAAUAUAUAGUUAUUUCUGCUCAAUGACUUAAAUAGCCGCAGUACUCUGACUGUGCAAAGGUAGCAUAAUCAGUUGGCUUUUAAUUAGAGUCUGGUAUGAACGAAAAUAUGGGUAGUAACUGUCUUACCACAUUUAUUUGAACUUAUUUAACAAGUGCAAAUGCUUGUGAUUGAAACAAUAGACGAGAAGACCCUAGAAACUUGAACAGGUUUUUGUUGGGGCGACAGAAUUACAUUCAACUAAUCUUAUAAUACAUGACGCAAUGUUGAAAGAAUAAGUUACUCUAGGGAUAACAGCAUAAUUUCAUUAGUUUGUGACCUCGAUGUUGGACUAGGUACUAUAUCCUUAAGGCAAGGGUAUAUUAUGCUCUGUUCGAGCAACAAUACCUACAUGAUCUGAGUUCAGACCGG